GGAGAGUUUGAUCCUGGCUCAGGACGAACGCUGGCGGCGCGCUUAACACAUGCAAGUCGAGCGAGAACCGGGACUUCGGUCCUGGGGACAGCGGCGAACGGGUGAGUAACACGUGGGUAAUCAACCCUCGGCACCGGGAUAGCCCGAGGAAACUCGGAUUAAUACCGGAUGGCCCCUCCGACUCUCGAGUCGGUCGGGAAAGGUAGCUUAGGCCUCUGGCCGGGGACGAGCCCGCGGCGGAUUAGCUUGUUGGUGGGGUAAUGGCCUACCAAGGCGACGAUCCGUAGCUGGUCUGAGAGGACGAUCAGCCACACUGGGACUGAGACACGGCCCAGACUCCUACGGGAGGCAGCAGUGGGGAAUCUUGCCCAAUGGGCGAAAGCCUGAGGCAGCGACGCCGCGUGAGGGAAGAAGGCCUUCGGGUUGUAAACCUCUUUCAGGAGGGACGAAGCUACUCGGGUGAAUAGCCCAGAGG
rnacentral:rRNA from 1 species